GCGCCACUAGCUCAGUUGGUAGAGCAGCUGACUCUUAAUCAGCGGGCCCAAGGUUCGAGUCCUUGGUGGCGCACCA
rnacentral:tRNA from 1 species